rnacentral:lncRNA from 1 species
UAGCUCUUGACCUAUGAGCGGGGUAGCUCUUGACCUAUGAGUUUGAGUUAGAGUCAGGGCGAAGAGCGGGGUAGCUCUUGCCCUUAGGCAUUUGAGUAUGAGUUGGGCGAGGAGCGGGAUAGCUCUUCACCUAUAGGAGUUGAGAUCUGAGUCGGGUAAGAGCGGGGUAGCUCUUUACCUAGUGUUAGAAUUGCGAGACGGGUGAGACAAGAGCGGGGUAGCUCUUCACCUAUGUGGAUUUGAAGUCUUAGGUGGGGUAGCCUAAUGGAUUGGGUAAUGACAUGGAUGGCAUAAGCGGAAUUGCAUUCAUACCAUGAUUAGACAUAGUACACUGCAUAACUAUGUUGUAGUUGUAUUUAUUUCAUUGUUAAAGCAUACUAACAUGAUAAAUGAUGUUGCAUGCAUUCCUUGCAUUUGGUGGCAUGGUAGAUAUAGUAGCAGUUUAUUUCCAUAUAUCUCUCUAUCUAUCUAUCUGUGCCAGCUUAGACCUAGUGGGAAGAUCGGCGGAGUCGGCGGCCGAACCCACUAGGAACUGUAUUU